rnacentral:lncRNA from 1 species
CUGAUUCCUGGCCACUAAGGUUGCCAGACUGGACUUUGGUUCCAGUAUUUUGUGUGUAUAGCUGUAUCUGCUUUCUUCCUUUUAUCCUGCUUCACUCAGCCAUGCUUGCAAUUAUUGACUUCUUUCUUAAAAGCAGGAGGCUGAUGCCUACAGACUACAUUCCCUGGAUGCCCCUUCUGGAAUGCUGGACGUUUGAGGAGCGAGGAAGGAGAGAGAGAGAAUCCAACCUGAUAUCUUUGCUUGUAACUGAAUCUCCAAAGGACUGUAGCUCCUGCAGGGUGAUCUCUCUCCAAGAUCAAGCUCUCAGUGUGCUCUGUGUUUCUCCUCUUGUCCCUUCAAGCCCAGGAGUGGGUAACUGAUUGUUGUUGCUAGUUUCUUGAUGCCUCUAAAUCAUUUAUAUGUUUCCUUAACUCUCCCUUAACUUUGUAAUGAUUUUUUGUAUUAAAUUCUCUUUAUUUAAACCAUCUAAUUCAAUUUGAAUAUUGCCUAAUACAAAU